rnacentral:rRNA from 1 species
UACAGCAGGCUUAUCACUUUGUAUCGUGAUCUUCUCAGACCUCAAAGGCUAAGCAGGGUUGGGGCCAGUCUGUACUUGGAUGGGAUACUUCUGAGGAACACCAGGCUGAAGCUGUAA